ensembl:lncRNA novel transcript
CAAUGUACCCCUACAGUCCUCCAGGAAGUCGUAAUUUGAUGGGAGACAAAGAAACAUAGCCAAGGAUACAAUUUUAAGGUCACCUUGAAUCCUUCCUGGAAAAAAGCAGGUCAUAAAUAAUAAUGGUUGUUGGAGAAAGGUCUCUAGGAAAGAUGAAGAACUUUUAAAUUCCUAGAAGCAUCUUAGAAAAGAUAACACAAAAACUUUAUUUAAUGUAAAAAUAAGAGCUGAGAGUCAGUUAAAUAAACAUUGUUAACAGUUGAAAUUUU